rnacentral:rRNA from 1 species
ACAAGCGGUGGAUGAUGUGGUUAAUUCGAUGCAACGCGAAAACCUUACCCACCUUUGACAUGUACGGAAUCCUUUAGAGAUAGAGGGGUGCUCGAAAGAGAGCCGUAACACAGGUGCUGCAUGGCUGUCGUCAGCUCGUGUCGUGAGAUGUUGGGUUAAGUCCCGCAACGAGCGCAACCCUUGUCAUUAGUUGCUACAUUUGGUUGGGCACUCUAAUGAGACUGCCGGUGACAAGCCGGAGGAAGGUGGGGAUGACGUCAAGUCCUCAUGGCCCUUAUAGGUGGGGCUACACACGUCAUACAAUGGCUGGUACAAAGGGUUGCCAACCCGCGAGGGGGAGCUAAUCCCACAAAGCCAGUCGUAGUCCGGAUCGUAGUCUGCAACUCGACUACGUGAAGUCGGAAUCGCUAGUAAUCGUGGAUCAGAAUGUCACGGUGAAUACGUUCCCGGGUCUU